rnacentral:snRNA from 1 species
AUGCUCCCUUUGGCAGCACAUAUACUAAAAUGUAGGCAGAGGGAGAGGAUUAGCAUGGCCACUGUGCAAGGGUGACGCAAAAAUUUGUAAAGUGUUCCAUGUUUUU